GAGACAAUUAAGUCGACCCAAUUCCCCGGUUUGGUGCCCGGUCCGGUCUGGCUUCUACGGCGAAAAGAGCUGGAGCCUGGAGGCGUGAGAGGAAGAGCGACAGCUCAAAGCUAAACCUCGGGCGAUGGCGGCGUCUUUGUUCCGGCGAGUUUCGUCCCACCUGGCGCGUCUUCCUCGUCCUCUCCUUCCCUCCGUCUCUCUCGAGAAUCCCUUCGCGCAGGCCCCUCCUCCAGCGGCUCCCUCCCUUCCCAACUUCUCCUUCGGCGGCGCCAUGGAGCUCAUGGCCGUCCCGAAGAAAAAGGUUUCUCGCCAUAAGAAGGGAUUAAGGAAUGGACCGAAGGCUCUGAAACCUGUUCCAGUGAUUGUCCGAUGCAACAAGGGAGCUCGAGUGGAGGAAGACUUCCAUGGUACUCUGAAAGUCUUCUAGGAAAGACUGAAGGACCUAACCAACCAAUGGGGCCCAUAGGACAGAGCAGUGGUUCAAAUGAGUUACCGGCAGUGUUCUGCAACAGUGGAAACUGAAGCAGAAGAGCAGUGGAAUCUGGAGUUGUGGUCGAGUUAAGCUGCCUCACUUCUACUGCUGCAGUGGGGAUAGAGGGAGCGGUGGUCCCUCAAGUUGAGAAGACAAUUCUUGGCAAUGAUAAAAGUCAGCAUGCUAGAUGAAAGCUGAGAAUUUUGACAUUAACAAAACAAAUAUUGGAAAUUUGUUUUCUUGUAACAGAUAGGAUAUAUAUGGAAGGCCUGGCAUGGUACCAAUAGUCCUCUUAAGAGCAACUCUGCUUCAGGUUCACAGUUGCUUCUAUUAGUCGUAUGGUUGUUUUCAUGUGCAAAUUUCCGAUUUUCCAUUUGAAGGGAAGAUGUUCAGUGUCUCUGACAUGUUUAUUAUUAGCGAUCAUGUUUUGUGUUUCAAUUUCAUUUCCUGCUGUACUUGGUAUAGGAGUGGAUGACUAUUAUCUUUGUUGUCCUCAACUUCACUUUUUCUUUUGCUUAUUGAAAUCCUGGAUUGUUAUCA